rnacentral:rRNA from 1 species
UAGUGGCGAACGGGUGAGUAACACGUGGGCAAUCUGCCCUGCACUCUGGGACAAGCCCUGGAAACGGGGUCUAAUACCGGAUACGAGCCUCCNGGGCAUCUGGGAGGUUGGAAAGCUCCGGCGGUGCAGGAUGAGCCCGCGGCCUAUCAGCUUGUUGGUGAGGUAACGGCUCACCAAGGCGACGACGGGUAGCCGGCCUGAGAGGGCGACCGGCCACACUGGGACUGAGACACGGCCCAGACUCCUACGGGAGGCAGCAGUGGGGAAUAUUGCACAAUGGGCGCAAGCCUGAUGCAGCGACGCCGCGUGAGGGAUGACGGCCUUCGGGUUGUAAACCUCUUUCAGCAGGGAAGAAGCGAGAGUGACGGUACCUGCAGAAGAAGCGCCGGCUAACUACGUGCCAGCAGCCGCGGUAAUACGUAGGGCGCAAGCGUUGUCCGGAAUUAUUGGGCGUAAAGAGCUCGUAGGCGGCUUGUCGCGUCGAUUGUGAAAGCCCGGGGCUUAACUCCGGGUCUGCAGUCGAUACGGGCAGGCUAGAGUGUGGUAGGGGAGAUCGGAAUUCCU